UGGGGAAUAUUGCACAAUGGGCGGAAGCCUGAUGCAGCGACGCCGCGUGGGGGAUGAAGGCCUUCGGGUUGUAAACUCCUUUCGACAGGGACGAAGCUUUUGUGACGGUACCUGUAUAAGAAGCACCGGCUAACUACGUGCCAGCAGCCGCGGUAAUACGUAGGGUGCGAGCGUUGUCCGGAAUUACUGGGCGUAAAGAGCUCGUAGGUGGUUUGUCGCGUCGUCUGUGAAAUUCCGGGGCUUAACUCCGGGCGUGCAGGCGAUACGGGCUGACUUGAGUGCUGUAGGGGAGACUGGAAUUACUGGUGUAGCGGUGAAAUGCGCAGAUAUCAGGAGGAACACCGAUGGCGAAGGCAGGUCUCUGGGCAGUAAAUGACGCUGAGGAGCGAAAGAAUGGGUAGCGAACAGG
rnacentral:rRNA from 1 species